rnacentral:misc_RNA from 1 species
AGAUUAUAUAUAUGCAUGUACAUAUAUAUUUUGGCCACUUAUAGGAAAUUCAGAACCAAAAAGAACCUGCCAGUCCCAUUGUUUUAAACUUGACAGGACUUGCCGGUUAGACUGAUUAACUUCAGGUUAGUGCUGAAUCAUUUCUAUGGUCAAAUCAAUUUUUGAAUCAGUAUGGCCAAAAGUUCAAUAGGUAAUCAUGGUGAAUUCUAAUCCAGAAAAAGUGGAAAACCCAAGACCUGGUACUCAAACCUAGACUUUGUGCUAAAAGAGUGCCGGUAAUAUAU